UACGUAGGGGCCAAGCGUUGUCCGGAUUUAUUGGGCGUAAAGAGCUCGUAGGCGGUUUGUCGCGUCUGCUGUGAAAACUCGGGGCUUAACUCCGGGCCUGCAGUGGGUACGGGCAGACUAGAGUGCGGUAGGGGAGACUGGAAUUCCUGGUGUAGCGGUGAAAUGCGCAGAUAUCAGGAGGAACACCGGUGGCGAAGGCGACAUCCUGGACCGGUAUUGACGCUGAGGCGCGAAAGCCAGGGGAGCAAACGGG
rnacentral:rRNA from 1 species